CCUGACAUCACGGACCAGACACUUAUCAAACCUAAGGAGAGCGUUCAGUGGAGGAGAUCAAAGUUGGGAGGUAUGCUGCUUGUGUACAUUCUACCGUAGUUUGGUGCUUACAUGUGCCUGUGUUAGUACAGCUCCAUAAAGAAGAAUGGGGUGUGUUUCUUCCUGCACUGCCCUGUGGUGGAACGCAGGAGUACGCCAUGGCAGGGAAAAAAAACGCUUAGAAAUCCUAAUUAACUUUCUUAAAGCAGCCAUGGAUCAAGUGAAUUGGCUGGCAUGGGUCAGAGACUGCAGAGUUCAAUGAUACAGGAGGCAGUGGGAAAACGACACAAAGCGCUGGGAAUAAAAUGGGAUUAUAAUAACUCUGAUUGUUAUGUGAGGAACUCUAUCAAAUUCCAUUUACUGCACUCGCCGUGUUCAGCCGGUGGAGCUUCCUGCUCCCAUUAAGCAUAAUGAUGUUGGGGGUUAUUCAGUGUUAUACUGUGUAUGUAUCUGUUAUAUGCCUUCUAUUCUCAAUGCAUGCAUUAAAGAGGAUUU